rnacentral:lncRNA from 10 species
CUUUGUAGCAACAUGAAUGGAGCUGGAGGCCAUUACCCUAAGAAGACUAACACAGGAAUAGAAAACCAAAUACUGCAUAUUCUCACUUAUAAGACGGAGCUGAACAUCGAGUACAUAUGGACACAAACAACAACAAAACAACAGGCACUGGGGCCGACUUAAGGGUGGAGGAUGGGGGAUGGGGAAGGAUCAAAAAACUACCUAUUGAGUACUAUGCUUAUUACCUGGGUAAUGAAAUAAUCUGUACAUCAACCCUAGGACAUGCAAUUUACCUUUGUAACAAACCUGCACAUGCACCCUGAACCUAAAAUAAAAGGUAAAAAAUAUAGCAGAUGUUACAGGACAGUUCAAGAAAACACUCCACACUCUUAUGUCCCAGGGGAUUCCUACUUUAAGAAACGUUUCCAACUCCUUUUGUAAAUAAUUCUUUAUUCGUAUCCCCUUAUGUGACCAUUCAGUGAUUUGUCUUUUAGUUCAAUUCAACUAAUAUUUAUUGAGUACUUAGCACAGUUUGGGCACUGUGCUUAAGACAUACAAAGAAGAAAUAAACUUGGCCUCUGCCCUGGAAUUUCUGACAGCCUAAUAGCAAAAACAUGGAAUCAACCUAAAUGCCCAUCAAUGGUAGACUGAAGGGGAGGUGGACUGAUUUAUAAAAGUAAAGCCUUUUCCUGAAGUGAGACAACAGACUGCUAUCAUACCGUUUUAUGAUAGUCUUGGGGAAAUAAAAAAAAAAAUCCAGACUGCUAUUAGAGUUUAUCAAUAAAUUUUCAUUAAAAGGCAAGAUCUCUGAUCCUUCUCAAGAGACUAUUUGAUUUUGAUCACAUUAUUUUAUUUAGAAAAAGGAGAGAUUUGGGGUGGCUGAAGUAUAGUUGUGAUACUUAGAAACACCUGUUAUUUAAGAGAAAAAUCAUCGUGUUUCCUUUGGCAGCACAUUUACAAACACUGGAAUGUUACAGAGAUCAGUGUGGCCUCUGAGCAAGGAUGACAUGCAAAUUCUUGAAGUGUUUCAGAUUAAAAAGACAGAGAGAGAAACACUGUCAUUACUUUUUAAACUCAUUUAAAAUCUGAAAACUGGGACCUUCCUUUCUUACCGUCUUAUCUCACUGACCCUGAUCCACAGACGCAAGGGAAGCUAAGCAUAUGAUCACUCGUGGGGUAACUGUCAUUUUUCUUUAUCUCACAUCUUGAGCACAUUUGAGUGCCGUGCCCAGCACUCCAAGGAUUUCUGUCAGCAUGUAUUUAUUGGCCUUUUAUUAGAAACUUUCUUACCUCAUGUCUGCUCUCAUGAAUAUAGAUCAGAAAUUAGAAACAAAAAAUAUUUAUCUGGUAAGCAAUUUCUUUGGUAACUGAACUAAUAGGAACUACUGGGACUUCCUGGAAGUGAGGCUACCUUUUCCAUUAGAGUUUAUGCUUCCUCUUUUGUAGACUUCACACAUUGCUCAAAUAUUUGUGGCGUGCAUUCCAACUACAAGGUGCAAUUGAGGGACGAGAAAAGGGAAAACUUAGUUGGGCAGACAGCUAAAGUUGGUCUUUGGUAAAAUUCUUUUAAACAGAAAGACAGCCUGAAAAAUCAAGCUACAGGCACACAUAGAGUGGCCUGGGGAAAACUCAGGCAACAGCUGCCCUGAUAAGAAAGGAAGGCCCAACAUAGAAGCCUUUUGUUCUUUGUGUGAUUAGCAGGUUCCCAGGAAAAAGUUUCUUCCCCUUUUCAGGCACAUACAUGGUGGGCUCUGUGGGAACUUGCAUGGGGGUGGAGAGGGUGAUUACCUAGAACCCACAGUUACACAAACAAGAGAAGCUGAACUUUAUCCUUACCCAAGACAUACCCACAGCUGCACAGAUAAGGGGAGCUGCACAGAUAGCUUUACAAGUAAGUUACACAAACAGCUACAGAGAUGAGAGGAGUUUCUUAUAAAAGCUUUUGGAUUCAACUGUAAAAGUGGCAAAAUGGCAAAGAAAGAAAGCUUUCUUCUUUCAUAUAAUAAACUUUCUCUUCAACCUCACUCUGGUGUCCACACUCCUUA